UGAGAAAAACAGCUCCAUAAUGUGUCUUUGUUUUUCACUCUUCCACACGUAUGUAGAAGCUAAUACGUGCACGACUGGUAUAUGAACAUGUUAACUUUUAGGAGACACCGUUUCUCUGUGAUGGUAGAUUAUCAAAUCCUGAACCAAUGCACGGGCGUAACAAACGCAAUAUAGAGCUAUUUAUCUAUAUCAGACGAAUCCAGGACAAGCAUCUCGAGCGCCGGCCACGAAUCUUCACUAUAUUGCUGAUCCAAGGAGAGACGCGCGCAGUGAGUCGUGAAGAGAUCCAGGAAGAGAUACGUGCAGUGAUCUGUGAAGAGAUCCAUGGAUUGCAUCCACCAAAGUCUCGGAGCUGCAAACGGUAAGAGCUUGGCAGUCUCAUAGAGAACCACGUGAGACCCGGCGUUCACUCCCAGGCUCCUCAAGGUCUUCUGGAAGUCUUGUAGGGUGGGAAUAGAGGACGGGAUGU